AGUGGCGAACGGGUGAGUAACACGUGGGCAACCUGCCCCAGACUGGGGGAUAACAUUGUGAAAACAGUGCUAAUACCGCAUGACAGGGUUCCGGGCAUCCGGGACUCUUGAAAAGGAGAAAUCCGGUCAGGGAUGGGCCCGCGUCCAAUUAGGCUAGUUGGUGGGGUAACGGCCCACCAAGGCGACGAUUGGUAGCCGAACUGAGAGGUUGAUCGGCCACAUUGGGACUGAGACACGGCCCAGACUCCUACGGGGAGGCAGCAGUGGGGAAUAUUGGGCAAUGGGCGAAAAAGCCUGACCCGGCGACGCCGCGUGAAGGAUGAAGGUCUUCGGAUUGUAAACUUCUUUGAUCAGGGAAGAAAGAAAUGACGGUACCUGAAAAACAAGCCACGGCUAACUACGUGCCAGCCGCUGC
rnacentral:rRNA from 1 species